UGACGUCCUUUCCCUUCGUCAAAUUUACGUAAUCGCAUUAUUUUGUAAACAAUUUUUUUACAAAGCUAAUGUAAUGGAUUUAAAAAGUGUUUUUACCCCGGGAUAGCCCACUAAUAUGAGCCAUACUAUGGAAUAUCAUUUAUUGAGUGCAAUUCGAUCUGAAUAUAUCAUACAUUUAAAAGGAUUUGCAAUUUUGCAUGAGCAGGCUUAAAUUUCCCGGGAACCAUAACAUGGUGUCAUUUCCGCGUCUUUCUUUUUCCAACACAGAUAAGCCAAAACCACGACCCGUUAUUCAGAGGGGCAUUCUACGACGCUUUGAGUGCUCGCCAAGGCUCCAAGACCGGAAGGGAAUAUCACCAUGUGAACAGUAUGGGUGCUUAAAGCCACUGUUCUGGCCUUUUGUACCAGCCUUGGUGGAACAACAGGCAACAACUGUAGGCUGACAAGGAAUCAUAGUGCCUGGUCAUCUGGCAGCUUUUCGGAGUGCUGCUGCUCUGUUGGCUGCUGGGCUGAUGUGAGACUUCCCAAAGCAAUGGAUGGCAGACACAAGACUUGAUGGAUUGCCUUUAAUUACAUUAAAUUGCUUCGCCAUUGCCUCCAGUGCCUCACUGAAGUUGUCAUCGAUACUCAGCCUAUUUAAGUCAUCCAGCAUUCCAGCAACCAGAUGAAGCAGGUGGACUUGGCAGAGUUCCAUACAUGGCUGUGGCUGCCAAGAAGGUGGCCAUUGAGGUAAAGGGCAUGCCAGGUCGGAUAGUUAAAAAAAAAAAGCCCUCCCACUAUGGCAUGGACCAACUACCUACCAUUUCGGAGGCAGGCCGUGGCAUCAAGUUCACAAGAAGUUCCUACACAGGCUCAAGGAUCCUGUGAUGGCCGGCCAUUUCCUGGGAACAGUAGUCCUUGCAGUGCUUCUGCCAUCAAGUCUUGGAGGCCCAUACUUCUCAGCUGCAGAUAUAAUGAUGUCCAGCUUCUUGGACCUCUUGGACACUUGUGCAGUACAAUUAAUAACUCUGGCUAUAAAUGCUACAAAUCCACCUUUUUCACAAUAAGUGUAUCCAGAUCCCUUGAUCGAAGUAUAACAUUUGCAACUGGUUGUUGUGCAUCUACCGCCAUAUCGUCUUCAGAACUGUGGCCUCUUGCCCCUUCAAUGCUAUUCACCGCCUCCACAUAUGAAAUUUGCUGUACAUCCCUGAUUCUUGACACCUCAACCUCUUUCACCCUAACAAGGCACUCAGGGAAUUCGGAAAUAUGAACCCCACAACAGUUGCAACAUUUUACAUUCACAGACUCUCUAAUAACAUAUUCCUUCCGUCUGCAAACACUUGAUACAUGGCAAAACGUUUUACACUUCUUUCAUUGCGUUGGGUUUUGCACGAAGGCUCUUAUGGCAUAUCUUAUAUAUCCCAACUUUACAUAGGUGGUAAAUACUCAUCAAACAUCAAUAAUACUGUCAUGUUCUGACCUUAGUUCUUUUGUUAUGUCUUUGUUUAGUAUGGUCAGGGCGUGAGUUGGGUGGGUUGUCUAUGUUCCUUUUUCUAUGAUUUGGGAUUUCUGUGUUUGGCCUGGUAUGGUUCUCAAUCAGAGGCAGCUGUCAAUCGUUGUCCCUGAUUGAGAACCAUACUUAGGUUGCCUGGUUUCACUUUUGAGUUGUGGGUGAUUAUUUUCCGUAUUAGUGUUUGUACCACACGGGACUGUUUCGUUUGUUUCACUUUGUUCUUUUGUAUUUUGUAGUGUUCAGUUUGACAUAUUAAAAUGGACACUUACCACGCUGCAAA